GGCAGCGAACAAAACAAAAGCAGCAGCAAACAGGCAAGUUUGCUAGGUUUUUUAGCAUUUUGCCGAGCGUCUUUGACCAAUAGGAACAGAUAAAAGCACACCCAGAACCAGUCCUGAAUUAUUUCUGCAAAAAAGGCAGCUGCCCAGGCCGAGGAUCCUGACCUGUGUCUGCCACAGAGCAAAGCAAGCUGCAAGGCAAGGCCAAACAUGGCGUCCGUGACAGACUGAGAGGCGCCGGAGCCGUGGUCUGCUUUCCCGCCUCUUUCACCCGGGCAGAGGCAGCGGGAAGCGGGGGCCGAGCCUCAUUGUAAACGAAUCAGGUGGGCACAUACGUUAUGAAGAGGUAGAAAAGACAUCGUUGAUGUAAGCAAAAUUGAUGUGAGCUGUUGCCAGCUAUGCCAGCAAGUUACUACUUGGCUGCACACAGCAGAGAUUCACAGCUGUUGGACUUUGUUUUCCUGGCCAGUAUUUAUGUGAGAAUUCUGAAGAUACUGUGCCAGCAACAUAUAUAAAUCCACAAUCAAUAGUACCUAAUA